CCUACGGGAGGCAGCAGUUAGGAAUAUUGGUCAAUGGCCGGAAGGCUGAACCAGCCAAGCCGCGUGAAGGACGAAGGUGCCAAGCAUUGUAAACUUCGUUUGUCAAGGGACAAAAUCAGGCACGAGAGCCUGACCGAGGGGACGUGAAGAAAAAGCAUCGGCCAACUCCGUGCCAGCAGCCGCGGUAAGACUGAGGAGGCGAGCGUUAUACGGAUUUAUUGGGUUUAAAGGGUGCGUAGGCGGACUGUUAAGUCCGCGGUAAAAGCCCGGGGCUCAACCCCGGCGAGCCGUUGAAACUGGCUGUCUUGAGCUGUCGAGCGGUAUGCGGAAUGCGCAUUGUAGCUG
rnacentral:rRNA from 1 species